GAAAAUUAGUUUUUUUUUCUGUGCUACAAAAAUGGGCGGAGACUGCAAGCAAGAGGGAAUGAAGCGACUCGAGUCACGAAGAGUCCUGUGACUUGCGAGAGGUGACAUGUAACUAUGAGAAAUUGAAAUAUUUGAUUAUCGAGUAAAUAACAUUGAGUUCCCUAUAUUUUUAUUUUUAGUAAAUAACGAUACAUUAGUUUCAGUUUAUUUCAAAUAGGUUCCUCAUCCUUUGCCAGUGACCAAGUUGUGCAACCCUAACAUCCACAGCACCUCUUUUCGCUUCAAUCAUGACCGGAGCAUCAGAGCUUGAGUCUAUCCUUUUAUGUUCAUCUCCGUCUUGUUCUUCAUCCAUUUUUGCAUCUUCUACAUGAAUGGCUUCUGGUUCUUUGGUUUGAUUUUCUUCUGUGCUGCCUUUUGGUUCUCUCCCUUCGCCGACUUGUUCAGCCACUUUCGUAGUUUCAAUUCUGGAGCUCUGAAGGGGGCCAGUCAAUGAAGCUGUAGCUGAGUCCAUCAAUGCUGAUUCCUCAGUUUUUAUUUCCCCUGAUUCUUGUGGUUGUUGCUCUCCUUCGAGGUUAAUCUUUGCUUUUUGUGGAGUUUCUGUGGUUCCUUAUUGCUCAAAAAUUUUUGGCGCAAACUCAUCUCCAGUUUGAACUGGUGUGUAUGGGCGCUCAAUGAGAUCUGCUUCAGUUGUUGCAUAAGAGCUUUUCUCUAACUCACUAGUUUCUUGAAUGAUUUUGCUGUCUGUUGCAAACCCCCUUAUGCUUUCUUUUUGUGACAUCGCCAUACUCGAUUCUUGAUAAAAUUAAAAGUAAAGCUGCUCAAAUUGUGAAAAAUAAAAGAAAAACCGAAAUGUCUAAUUAAUAUCUGCAAGCAAAAUGGCUUUCAUAAUUUAGCUGCAUUCUUGUCCUACUAAGUUAUGUUU
rnacentral:lncRNA from 1 species